AUGAUGGCAGAAUUUGAUCCUGUAAUGCAAGAGCAUCUUCGGCACAUUAAGAAUAGUGAAAUUCAUCAUCAUUAUCUUGGCCAUAAUAUUCAGAAUGAGUUAAUUUCCCUUCUUGGUCGCACUGUUAAAUAUUCUCUGUUGAGGAUAAUUAAGGAUGCAAGGUAUUUCUCUGUCAUCUUGGACUGUACACCUGACAUGAGCCAUCAAAAACAAAUGACUCUAAUUGUGAGGUGCGUAAACAUGUCAAGUACUACUACAAAAAUAGAGGAGUUUUUUCUGGAACUACUUGAAACUAAUCCAAGAGCAUUAUUCAUGCCAUGCGCUUGUCAUAGCCUGAACCUUACUCUUAGUGAUAUGGCAAAAUCUUGCGGUAAAGCUGUUACCUUCUUUGGUGUUGUGCAAAGAAUUUAUAUAUUGUUUUCAAGCUCUACUAAAAGAUGGCAGCUAUUGCUUGAUCAUGUUCCAAAAAUGACAGUUAAGUCUUUGUGUAACACUCGAUGGGAGAGUCGAAUAAAGAGUGUUCAGGCUAUCAAAUAUCAAGCACCCGAGUUAAGAAAAGCAUUACUGGAAUUGAAGAGAACUUCUACCGAUGACGCCAAGACUAAGAGCGACGCAAAAUCUUUGGCUAGCGCACUUGAGAAAUUUGAAUUUUUACUUGGCAUGUGCAUUGAUGUUACUCUUAAACAGAUUGAAGGUGCCAUCUCAUAUUUUAAGAAGUACAGAAAUGACGGCUUUGCAACUAGUCUGGAUAUUGCGAGAUCUAUUGCAAUUGACAUGGGUGUACAACCUUUGUUUCCUGUCAAGAGACAUAUUACUAGAGUUAAAUACUUUUUGGCGAUGAUUGAUGUUGCAAUUGCUUCCCUAACUACUAGAUUUGAGGAACUGAAGACAUUUGGGAGCAUAUUUGGUUUCUUGUUCAACUCGAAAGAGUUGAAGUCCUUGGGUGAUAAUGAUCUAAGAAGAUGUUGCACUAAUUUUGUCAACAAAUUCACUCAUGGUAAGUCAGCAGAUGUCGAUCUAGAUGAUUUCGUUUCUGAACUAAAAGUACUGCAGAUGACAUUACCAAACACAUUCAUGUCAGCGGAUUAG
rnacentral:rRNA from 1 species